rnacentral:rRNA from 1 species
AUUGAACGCUAGCGGCAUGCUUUACACAUGCAAGUCGAACGGUAACAGCUCUUCGGUGGCUGACGAGUGGCGAACGGGUGAGUAAUACAUCGGAACGUGCCUAGUAGUGGGGGAUAACUACUCGAAAGAGUAGCUAAUACCGCAUGAGAUCUAAGGAUGAAAGCAGGGGACCUUCGGGCCUUGCGCUACUAGAGCGGCUGAUGGCAGAUUAGGUAGUUGGUGGGAUAAAAGCUUACCAAGCCGACGAUCUGUAGCUGGUCUGAGAGGACGACCAGCCACACUGGGACUGAGACACGGCCCAGACUCCUACGGGAGGCAGCAGUGGGGAAUUUUGGACAAUGGGCGCAAGCCUGAUCCAGCAAUGCCGCGUGCAGGAUGAAGGCCUUCGGGUUGUAAACUGCUUUUGUACGGAACGAAAAGCCCUCUUCUAAUACAGGAGGGUCAUGACGGUACCGUAAGAAUAAGCACCGGCUAACUACGUG